rnacentral:lncRNA from 1 species
AGAGGAACCAAAAAAGAGCAGGUGACAGUGGGUUCAGAGGCACAGAUAUAAGAAAGGAGCUGGCAGGCAGGAGUGUAAAUUAGUUCCUGGUGGUCCAGAAAAAUCCAGCAGUUUCAUACUUCUUGGUGCUGAGGCUUGGGCAGGAAAAGGAGGUGAGUUCAUUGGCUGUGUGUAACCUGGAUGUUGAGACCUUGGGGAACAUGAGCUUAAUCACACUUGAGCUGAUUUUAUUUCUGAUCAUACUGCAAAACAUUGCUAUAUGGGCUCGCAUGGGCCUCGUACAGGCUCACAAGGGCCUCGUAUGGGCUCGUGCGGGCCUCUACGGGCUCACUCAGGCCUCCUACAGGCUUGCACGGGCUCGCACGGACCUCCUACGGGCUCGUGUGGGGCUCCAUGGGCGCACACAGGCCUCUACGUGCCUCUACGGGCGCGCACGGGCCUCUAUGGGCUUGCACGGGCACGCAUGGGGGCUCAUCCGGGCUCGCACAGGUGCGCAUGGGCCUCAUCCGGGCUUGUAAGGGCUCGCGCAGGCUUCCUAUGGACUCGUAUGGGCUCGCACGGGCCUCCACGGGCUCGCAUGGGCUCAUAUUGGCCUCUACAGGCUCGCAGGGGCUUGCACAGGCCUCCUAUGGGCUCUCAGGGGCCUCCUAUGGGCUCGUAUGGGCUUGUGUGGGUCUCCAUGGGCUCGCACGGGCCUCCUAUGGGCUCGUACGAGCUCGUGCGAGUCACCACGAGCUCACACAAGCUUGCACGGGCCUCCACGGGCUCGUACGGGCUUGUGAGUGCCUCCAUGGGCUCGCCCAAACUAGCAUGGGCCUCUAUGGGCUCACACAGGCCUCCUACAGGCUUGUACAGGCUCACAUGGGCCUCCACGGGCUCGCACAAGCUCGCACAGGCCUCUACGGGCUCGCAGAGGCGUCCUACGGGCUCUUACGGGCUUGCACGGACCUCUACAGGAUCGCACAAGCUUGCAUGGGCCUCUACGGGCUCGCAGAGGCCUCCUACGGGCUCGUACGGGCUCGCACAAUCUCGCACAGGCCUCUACGGGCUCGCACAAGCUCGCAUGGGCCUCUACGGGCUCGCACAGGCCUCCUAUGGGCUGGUAUGCCCCCUAGUGCACUCUGGACUACUUUUUCAGCUUUCUUCUGUGCCCCAGAGCUGUCCUCUGGCCCUCCACACCCUGCACAACCUCUCUUGUCCCUCCACACCCUUUAGCAGCCCUCUCUUCUGCUCUGGCCCCCUCCUUCCACCUUUUUCUUUCCCUCUGCUCCCCUUAGCACCCGCCUUGUGCACUCGGCACUACUUUUUCAGCUUUCUUCUGUUUUUUUUUUUUUUUUUUUUGUAGAUGUGGCGCAGCAGUUGGAGUGCCUGAGGGAGGUGGAGGAAGAAAGGGUCAUGCCCUAGGAAGGUGAGCUAGAGAUUUGUUGCUGGAAGCAGAGUAUUGUGGUCAGCGGUUCCCUGGUUAAUUUUUGCUUUGUGCUUGUAGGUGUGGAGGAAUGCGGAGAGUGGAUCGUUCAUGUGUGGGAGGAGCACGGCAA